UAAAAGUUAAACAUAACACAUUAAUCUAUCUUUUAUUUUUAUUUUUUAUAAUACUUUAAUCUAUCUUAGAGACAAUUAAUAAUAACUCCAAUUUAUUAAUGGUUUCUUGAACUCCUAAGAGCUAAAAUCACUUUACCUGAACCUGAAGUUAACCAAGCAACAAAUUUAUACUUAUAAAUUGUUCAAACAAGUUUUUAUUUAUUAAAUACAAAAAAAUGGCUCAAAUUUUUACUAUGUUAAUUAUUCUUUCUCUAUUUCUUAUGGUAACGAAUGGAAAAAUCGAUUGCGAAAAACAUAGUGAUUGUCCAAAAUCUAUGUGUGUCUUUCCUUGGAUUGUUAGGUGUUCUAAUUAUGUUUGUGAUUGCGGAUUUGCAGAUCCCCCUAGGGCAACUAGGGGAAAUAGGGGAUACAAGGGAUUUAGGCCAAGAAAUCGGUCCAUCCAAGAAAUGAAUUUAAGUUCUCUCAAAUGAUAAGUUUUCUUUAGUGGUGCUAAUUAAUCCCUUGAGUUAAAUGACUUAAUCUAUAUAAAAUAUAACUAUAUUGUACUAAUAAGUGUAUAAUUUAUUUGUACACAAUAAUUUCUCGCACAAUUUGAUAUAUGUUUCUCUUA